AUUGGGACUUAGCACAAUGCCCCUUUCAAACAUGUGGCGGCGGCCAUCUUAAAUUGUCCAGCAGUGUUUUGUCGUCGAGUGUAUGGAACUGUUUUGGGCAUGGGACCAUGUGCACGGUGGGGCAAAAAUAAGACUUCCAGGAAAUUCCUGAACCCCUGAACCGAUUUGGGUGAUUUUUUGAUAUGUUGUUCACCCAGAUCGGGGCUAUCAGG